GGCGAACGGGUGAGUAACGCGUGAGCAAUCUACCUUAGUUACAGGGAUAGCCCGAGGAAACUCGGAUUAAUACCUGAUAUUCUUUAUUUCUCGCAUGAGAAUAAAAGGAAAGGUCAGCCGAACUAAGAUGAGCUCGCGUUCUAUCAGCUAGUUGGUGAGGUAAAAGCUUACCAAGGCUACGACGGAUAGCUGGUCUGAGAGGACGAUCAGCCACACUGGGACUGAGACACGGCCCAGACUCCUACGGGAGGCUGCAGCAGGGAAUAUUGUGCAAUGAACGAAAGUUUGACACAGCGACACCGCGUGUGGGAUGACGGAUCUAGGUUUGUAAACCACUUUCAGGAGGGAAGAAAAUGACGGUACCUCCACAAGAAGCCCCGGCCAACUACGUGCCAGCAGCCGCGGUAAUACGUAGGGGGCGAGCGUUGUCCGGAUUUAUUGGGCGUAAAGAGCUCGUAGGCGGUUCAACAAGUCGGUCGUGAAAGUUCAGGGCUCAACCCUGAAAUGUCGAUCGAUACUGUUGUGACUAGGAUACGGUAGAGGUGAGUGGAAUUCCGAGUGUAGCGGUGAAAUGCGUAGAUAUUCGGAGGAACACCAAUUGCGAAGGCAACUCACUGGACCGCUAUCGACGCUGAGGAGCGAAAGCUAGGGGAGCAAACAGGAUUAGAUACCCUGGUAGUCCUAGCUGU
rnacentral:rRNA from 1 species